rnacentral:rRNA from 1 species
UGGGAAUCUUGGCAAUGGGMGAAAGCCWGACCCARCAACUGCCGGCGUGGAGGAUGAAGUCYUUUAUGGAUGUAAACUUUCUUUUAGAGGGGACGAACAUCAUGAUUUGUCAGAAAUUGACGGUACCCUCAGAAAAAGCACCGGCUAAMUACGUKCCAGCAGCCGCGGUAAUACGUAGGGAGCAAGCGUUGUCCGGAUUCACUGGGUGUAAAGGGUGCGCAGGCGGGMUCUUAAGUCAAAGGUGAAAUCUCCCGGCUUAACCGGGAAAUUGCCUUUGAUACUGGGAGUCUUGAGUGCGGGAGAGGGAGAUGGAAUUCCAGGUGUAGCGGUGAAAUGCGUAGAUAUCUGGAGGAACACCGGAGGCGAAGGCGGUCUCCUGGCCCGUUACUGACGCUCAGGCACGAAAGCGUGGGGAGCAAACAGGAUUAGAUACCCUGGUAGUCCACGCCCUAAACGAUGGGUACUAGAUGUCGGCUCCGUAAGGGGUCGGUGUCGAAGCUAACGCAUUAAGUACCCCACCUGGGGAGUACGAUCGCAAGGUUG